CGUAUAUCGAAGGUUUACUGUUACCAGCUUUGAUCAUAAGCAAUCUUAUCCUGUCAGCUGUGUGCAUCAUGUGCACUGUUAUAUGUUUCAUGACUAUAUCGCGACAAAACUAUUACCAGUGUCACGUCAAUAGAAAAGAAAGCCCGUCCAAUAACACAUCUUAUGAUGAGAUCCUUGAAGUCCAUCACGCAGCUGUCGGCUCAAAUGCCCUUUUCGACCAGAAAAAAAAACCUGGAAAGUUCAAGUGACUAAAUCGGAUAGCUUUCUGUACAUGGGGGAAGCACGUGACUAUUACCAGUGUCACGUCAAUAGAAAAGAAAGCCCGUCCAAUAACACAUCUUAUGAUGAGAUCCUUGAAGUCCAUCACGCAGCUGUCGGCUCAAAUGCCCUUUUCGACCAGAAAAAAAAACCUGGGAAAGUUCAAGUGACUAAAUCGGAUAGCUUUCUGUACAUGGGGGAAGCACGUGACUACCGAGAAAUGGGUAAAGAGAGGUUAUAUGAGGAAUUGAACGCUGAUAUAUUACAUUUCAAUAGAGAAAUUCCAAAAGAUCCCCAGUUCACGGAUAUGUCAGCAAUAUAUUCGCAAGUAGACUUGAAGGAAAAAAAAACAUUGAUACCAAAUCAAGGGGGUUUGGUGAGUCAUCUUACAGACCCACUGUUUUACCCUUUAGCCGAGAGGUCACAAUUUUCAUUGAAUGUGGACCAGCCACCUCCCGUCCCUCCUAGAAGUUACACACUUGUAUAACUACAUUUGUUUCUAAAACAGUUUGGUGAGAUACCGUGUAAGGUAAAGACAAAACCAAAACCAAAAACCUCACUAUUGACACCUUUCAAGCAAAACUGAAACAAUUUAUCUAUCUUUAACAAGUUGUAAAUAACAAAAAUAAUUUCUUCUUUAAGUUUGCUAAAAACAACAACAACCCUAUUCCAAUUAUGAGACAUUAAAACAUUCAUGUUUAAAAAUAAAUAUUUUUAGGGGUCCACCCGUACAAUGAUUUGUUGCUUUUUUUUUUCAUUUAUUUUCGUGAGAGAGUUUUUAAACAUUUUAGUUAAACAAGUUUUUCAAAAUAACGGUAAAGUCAAUGUUGAUAUUUAAAUUUUUGACAAACUUUCAAAUAUAACAAAAUAGAGUAAAUCAUAUUGAUAGUAUAUUUAGAUAGAUUGUUAACUGAUUAGAUCUUAGGUUAAUGUAAAUAAUAAUAAUUAUCUUGGGGUUUAUUAGUAAUAAUUAAAAACUAAAAUACUCGUGACGUAGAAAUACAUAAAGUUCAUAACGUAACUGAAUGCUUAAGCCUUGUUCCAAAAAUGUUAAUAAAGUCUAUAAUAUAACUGAAUCCCUAGGCCUUGUUUCAAAAAUGUUAAUAAAGUCUAUAAUAUAACUGAAUGCCUAAGCCUUGUUUCAAAAAUGUUAAUGAAGUCUAUAAUAUGACUGAAUGCCUAGGCCUUGUUCCAAAAAUGUUAAUAAAGUAUAUAAUAUAACUGAAUCCCUAGGCUAUGUUUAAAAAAUGUGAAUAAAGUCUAUAAUAUAACUGAAUGCCUAGGCCUUGUUCCAAAAAUGUUAAUAAAGUCUAUAAUAUAAAUGAAUGCCUAGGCCUUGUUUCAAAAAUGUUAAUAAAGUAUAUAACUGAAUGCCUCAGCUUUGUUCCAAAAAUGUUAAUAAAGUAUAUAAUAUAACUGAAUGCCUAGGCCUUGUUUCAAAAAUAUUAAUAUAGUCUAUAAUGAAAAUUAAUGCCUAGGCUUUGUUCCAAAAAUGUUAAUAAAGCCUAUAAUUAACUGAAUGCCUAGGCCUUGUUCCAAAAAUGUUAAUAAACCCUAUAAUAUAAAUGAAUGCCUAGGCCUUGUUUCAAAAAUUUUAAUAUAGUCUAUAAUGUAAAUGAAUGACUAAGUCUUGUUCCAAAAAUGUUAAUAAAGUCUAUAAUAUAAUUGAAUG